rnacentral:rRNA from 1 species
UACGGUGGAAAGCGCGUGCUGUGCCUUCCGGACGGCAAGUACUUCGUACCAACACAGAAGGCACGCGUGGCGGCCUACUUGCUGUACGACCCUGUGCGAUAGGGACUAAAUACGGCGAAGUCGAACCUACUCAGAGGUAGAUUUACACAAUACAUAUGCACGUUGAACACACCAAGAACGUGCCCGAGGUUGUGCGAGAAACUCUUUUUUUUUCCACCGUGUCGAAACCUAUAUGCACUGCACCGCCGUAGUAUGUCAUCGUAGCAAGCGAUAUCAAAUCAUCAUCUUAACUCUAAAUUACGUGAAAGAAGGGGCAGAAGGUGAGAAGAAGGAGGAGAGAAGAAGAAGGAGGAGAGAAGGGGUAGCAGCCGGCGUGUGGUAAAGGGAGGCGAGUGACGAGCGGGCGGGCGCGAUAGAAGGAACCAUCGAGCGUCCAUGGUAUAGGGGGGCGAGUGACGAGCCGGUGUGCUCCUCUUCGAAGAAGUGAGCGGGCGGGCUUAGGUGAAGGGGCGACCGAGCGUCCUGGACCUUAGUAUGGUCGGCUACCCACCACCAAAUAGCGAACAAGUCGACUGCCACAUGGUAUAUUGACCUUAAUUGGGUACGUUCAACUUCUUCCUAACCGGCCACGACGGCCGACCGCAGUUCAAGCUAGGGUGCCUAGUCCUCGGCUAGCUCGUGGAACUCCGGUUUCACUCACGACUGUCGCGCUCUAGAGUGGAAGAGUAGCUAAACAAGUAUGGUUGGUAGCUGUCGCUCGUGCUGUAUACGAUGUGGGUAGGACUCUUUAAAGGUCCAUAGUGUGACUCACUGGAUUCGUUCGUAAAGAAGGUCGCGUUAAGGUCCCGCAAGUUUUCCCCGUGCACCUGUGCAGCGUUCUAUGUCAGUCUCACGCCGUACGUGCGCUACACCGUGUUGUGGCCGUUAUGGAACGGCCACUACCAGUUGCCGGCCGUCUGCCCGUCGUUUUUCCAAGACCACGACGUGUGGUUGUUCUUGAAGCUGGUCGUCUCCUGGUUGACCCACUACGUGGUCAUGGUGGAGCCCCUGGACCUCGUUCUCUUCCUCGCCCUCGACCAGGAGACGUUCUAAAAGAUGGUCUGCUUGUGAUCCCGGCCCUCAUUUUUCUAAUAUUCAGCUCGUUCAAAGUUGACCCGACAUCUGACGGCUCCGAACCAAAACAAAAAUUGUGCGGGUCGGGUACUGCUGUUGCCCCGUGUUUCUAGGUCGUUGCGCAAAAGUGGCGCGGCGCUGGGUCAGUCGGUGCAUUAGCCCGGCGACGAGGCGUCUGGCUCACUCCCUAGUAGAGCAAGGAGCCCGGCUAGUCUCCGGCUUUCGGGUGCAAUACGUUGUUCCAAAACCUGCCUAGACUACUAGCUCUCCAACUACCUAGUUCGUACGGACUAUUCCGACUCACGUGGUAAUCUUUUCCGUUCCCCGCGUGCGUAGCGUAGCGUAGCGUAGCGGCGGCAAACGCGCCUCGCCUACGCGAGCACGGGCACGGGACCGGGCGUGCGGUCACCGAGGCUCGUGAGUGGGAGCGUCGAAUUAUUAGCAGAAGUUAAUUGCCACCCGGGGUCGGCCGGAGGUGGCUCGGGCGGGCCCUAGCGCCGGCGCACACGGCGUUGCACGGCUCGCGGCGUACGUGGUCUGCAAAGGAGGGUGGGUGUGUGGGUGUGUGCGUGUGGGUAAGCUAGAGAGGCGGGGAGCUUUAGGGGAGGGCCGGCGCAAGGUACCGGCGCGCGGGGCGGAGGAGGCGGGUCCGUGAGACCACUGGCUGCGGCGUGCCUGGCGCUGGCGCUGGCGCUGUGGGCGGCGGCCGGAGAGACCAAGCAGCGGAGAGGGUGGGGGAGGGAGAGAGAGAGAGAGGAGCGGCAAAGCCCAGCGGGGUGCGCGCGCGUCAGCGACGGGCAGGGGCGGCUAGGAAGCCAAAGGGCAGCACACGGGCCCAAGCCGCCGCCGGGCCCGACACCAACCAUGCAGGCACGGGGCGGGCCGGCCUCCAAAGCUCAAGCGCCUCGCCCGCAGCCAAGAGGCCCGGCACCCACACCACGGCGGCAGCCACCCAAGCACGUCCGAAGAGACGCGGCCUACGAAUGGGUCUAGGCGGAGGGCGCUGCGUAGGGCACCGAGCCCGAGUAGCGCACCACAGCAAACCUGCGGACU